UCCUACUGAGAUCUCCCAUCCAGACCACAUUCCACCCUCUCCACCAUCUUUAAUCACCCAUUUACCUCAAAUACCUACAGCUCCUAGAUCUCAAACAACAAAGCAACUAAACCCCGACCCUACAGGAGUUACCUUACCGUUACCGGUUGUUUCUAAUGAGCACGGAAUGGUCACACGAGGCAAAGACAGUAUUUUUAAACCGAAUGUUCUUGGCAUCUAAACAUGCUAAAAUUAGUGAUGAUUUUUUCGAGCCCAGUUGUUAUACGCAGGCAAAAUCGCAUCUUCAAUGGCCCCUGGCUAUGGAUAAUGAGUAUACUGCUUUGAUGAAAAAUGGCACUUGGUCGUUGGUUCCGUGGUCAUCACACAUGAAUUUAGUUGGUUGCAUGAUUCAACUUUUUAGGUUGUUUUGGGUAUGAUUUAUUAAAUGGGUGGAUUGGAUUUUGAGUACAAUAGAACUUCGAUAAAUUGAUCCUCGAUAAAUUAAUUUCUUCCCUAAAAGUAGAAAGGAUGGACAAAGUUGCACUUGGAAGGAGACUGCUUGAAUGUGAUCAAUGCAGUAAAUGAUUCACACACAUCAGUGAAAUGGACAACUCAAAACUUAAUAAAUGAUGCAGUAGACAUUCUUAAUUCUUUUUCAGUUUGGUUAUGCACACAUUCACACUUCUGCCUUGCUGAUUCUCUUUUGUUGGGGCAGAAGCUGUUUUAUAAACAUUGUUUGUUCUUUUCUUAUUCUUACCCAUUUGUAAUCGUUAUAUUUGCAGGUCCUGGGCUCAAUGCUAGGAAGACAAAUGAAGUACUAGCAUAAGGAUUUUGCUAGUCAAGGGUUCAGGUUGGGUACUGAAUGUGCACUGAAUUCUCAAAAGGACUGAUGCCUUAGAUACUGCUGUGAUGUAUUUUCAAAGUUGUUGUAGUAAUAUGAUUCGUUCAAGACUUGUGAAAGCGAAUUUUUAGAUUUUUUUUAAUAAAUAAAAAUAGCGAAC